rnacentral:tRNA from 1 species
GCUGGUGUGGCGCAACGGCAGCGCAACUGAUUUGUAAUCAGUAGGCUAGGGGUUCAAAUCCCCUCACCAGCUCCA